rnacentral:rRNA from 1 species
UACGUAGGGGCCUAGCGUUGUCCGGAUUUAUUGGGCGUAAAGAGCUCGUAGGCGGUUCGGUAAGUCAGGUGUGAAAUCUCCACGCUCAACGUGGAGGCGCCACCUGAAACUGCCGUGACUCGAGUCCGGUAGGGGAGUGUGGAAUUCCCGGUGUAGCGGUGAAAUGCGCAGAUAUCAGGAGGAACACCGGUGGCGAAGGCGGAUCUCUGGGCCUUACCUGACGCUGAGGCGCGAAAGCUAGGGGAGCAAACAGG